rnacentral:rRNA from 1 species
GGAGUAUCGACCCUCUCUGUGCCGAAGCUAACGCUUUAAGUAGUCCGCCUGGGGAGUACGGUCGCAAGACUAAAACUCAAAGGAAUUGACGGGGGCCCGCACAAGCAGCGGAGCGUGUGGUUUAAUUCGAUGCUACACGAAGAACCUCACCAGGGCUUGACAUGUUAGAAGUAGUGAACCGAAAGGGGAACG